rnacentral:lncRNA from 1 species
AUGAACUUUUUAAUAAUCCAAGGAGGGAGGAAAGCCCUCGGUCCCCUCGGCUCGGGGGGCGCCCAGCCCGGCUCAGCUCGGCGGGCGCGCCCCAUCACCCCCCUCCCACGUCCUCUGCGGACAGCUCUGAGGGGGCGCGCGCACCGCAGGGCCUCCUCCGGUCUCUGCGGCUGGCGUCCGUCUGACUGUCCGAGGCUUUGGAACAGAUUAUCGCAGCCCUUUCAGAGCGCGCACAACAAAUGCGCCCGCCAUCGAAUGCAGCAUUUACCACCGCAGAUCCGCGCGCCGAUGGGCAGGCAGAUAGCGUCCGCGGGGGGCUCGCCGGGCGGCGAGUGUGCGCCCCGGCUCUGCCCGGUGUGUUUGGAGGAACACGUGGGUAUGCCAGCGAGUGGACCCUCAGCAAGCAAGAAUGUGAGUGUGCGAAAUUUCCAGCAAUUUCUGAAAUGUCCUCAAGCCAUGCCUUCAGAUGCCCUCCACCUGCCAAUUGCAGCUGAAAAUCACCAGGUUCUGAAAUCCCAGCAGUAGCAAGAGAUUACUGUUCAUCCAGACCUCUCUGUACAGGCUGCCCAGGCCAGAGACCACAAGAGCCUCGGGUGUCCCCAGCCCUGUGGAGUGCCAGGAUCACCUUGCACCUAGACAUACUUACAACCUCCCAGAGUGCAGGUUCUGUUCCACACAGGUAAAACCAAAGUUCAGAGGGGUAAGCCAUUUACCAGUGCCCACAAUGGUGACUGGUCUGGGAUCCAAACACACAUCCAAGAGGUAGGAGGUCUCCUCACUAAGUGACACAGCUGCCCCCAUCUGUCACCUGCAACCUCCAUGACCUCUAGACUCCAGGACAAGAAUGCCAAGGAGGGCCCAGCUGCUCCUUCUGUACUCAGCAUCCAAAGCAGUGUCCACUAUUCCCUGUGUGGUGGAGUGCCUGCCACAAUCUGCACCCUGCCCUCCAGGAAUCCUUCCCAGACCGACUCCCACAACACUUCACUGCAGGGUGUGGAUUCCCUAAAGCUGGAAGCUUGGUCCCUAGUGGUCAUGAGAGUGAUGGGACCCCCAAGAAGACGAGUCCAGUACAAAGGAAAUAAGUCAAAGUCAUGGCCUCCACAAGGGACUGAUUUUGGUCUCAGAUAGUGAGCUAAUUGUGAAAUAAUCUUUUUGUACACUGUGAAGAUGCAUUGUUCUGAUCCAUUUAAUAAAAAACUGAGCGGCCAAUAGCUAGGCA